rnacentral:lncRNA from 1 species
CCUAAAUGCUGGGAUUGCAAAUGUGCACGGCCGUUCCGCCUUUCUUUGGUGAUAAGAUCUUGCUGGUGAACUGAUACCACUUCCUGGCUUCUUAUUAUGAGCAGAGCCCUGUCUACCCGAGGCCACAUUUGACGACUACUCUGGGGCGUCUUCGAGCUGAGGUAUCGUCCUUUCUUUAAGAGAUGUCUUCCUGGACUCUGGGUGAAGACUCAGUCUCUGCCCGUGUGUGGGACAUGACCUACAUACACUUCAGGAAGAACAGAUUUUGAGGACUCACCAGAUUUCUGUUCCUUGGCUGGCUGACUUCUUUACCUGAGAUAUCUGCUGUGUUCCACCGAGACCACAGACACCAGUGAAGACCAAGUUACCAUGACAAAUGUCAACUGCCUCCUUCCAGGCUGGCCUGGGCAGACGCGGAGGCUGACAGAGAAGCAGACCCAGCGUUUAGGUCUGGGGAAGAAAACGCAAACAAGGACCAGGAAAUCCAGCUGUGGCCAGGGAAGCCACAGGCAAGUUGCUCACCCGCUGCUGCCUCAAGAAAAGCCCCAGAGGCUGUGACAAACCUGAGUCACACGUGGGACAGUGUGGCUGUGGGGUGUUUCCUGUCCUAGACUUACCGUGUCAGCAAGGCACCGUACAGCUGAGUUCAGUCCAGUGAGCACUUAGGCCCUGCACACGGAAAAAGCUGCGGAGAGAACCAGAGCAAACGUGAUGACUGAGAUGAGAGUGCCCUGAACUUGGGCAUCACAGAGUCUGGUGAGCCGACUCUCAGGCUUCUCGUGUGAGAGGAUGGCAGGCCGGCAGGAGACCAGCACGGUGUGGGGCUCCUGGUCCAGUGAAGGAGGGGAGAAGAGAGGCUAAGACACCAGCAAACGUCUCGUACCAGAGUCAUUUUCUCCUCCACAAACAUCGGAGGUUCGAUUGUUUGGGCCAAUCAGUUAACUGGACCAAAGAAGAAGCUGAGGGAGAAGCCGUGUGAAGGCUGGAGGAAGUGGUCAGGCCUGAAUACCAUGCAGGAG